CAAUAGCGUAUAUUUAAGUUGUUGCAGUUAAAAAGCUCGUAGUUGGAUUUCGGAUGGGACUUGCCGGUCCGUCGUUUCGAUGUGCACUGGCCAGUCCUAUCUUGUUGUCGGGGACUAGCUCCUGGGCUUCACUGUCCGGGACUAGGAGCUGACGAGGUUACUUUGAGUAAAUUAGAGUGUUCAAAGCAAGCCUACGCUCUGAAUACAUUAGCAUGGAAUAACACGAUAGGACUCUGGCUUAUCUUGUUGGUCUGUGAGACCAGAGUAAUGAUUAAGAGGGACAGUCGGGGGCAUUCGUAUUUCAUUGUCAGAGGUGAAAUUCUUGGAUUUAUGAAAGACGUACUUCUGCGAAAGCAUUUGUCAAGGAUGUUUUCAUUAA
rnacentral:rRNA from 1 species